rnacentral:lncRNA from 1 species
ACUCCCUGAUUCUCUAGGAGAUGAAGUGCAAGAAUGGAAGUUGUAUCUACUUGAAUUCUCAUGAAUGCAAACUGUCUUCCUUAAAUUUCCAGUGUCAAUUACUUACUUAGAAUUUCUGAAAGUCAGUAAUGUGUGUAAUGGCAUAUAGAUUAGUUGAUUCAUCUUAUUAUAAUGUUGUUUUUUUACGAAUUAACAUUUUCUUUUCAUUUUUCUAUUUUUCUGAGAAUAUGAAGACUAUUAGUCUAUUCAUGUGUAUGUAACCUUAAUUUUUCUAUUUUGCUGAGAAUAUGAAGUCUAUUAGUCUAUUCAUAUGUAUGUAACUUUGAACAUUUG